CAGCAGCCACGGUAAUACGGAGGGUGCAAGCGUUAAUCGGAAUUACUGGGCGUAAAGCGCACGCAGGCGGUCUGUCAAGCCAGAUGUGAAAUCCCCGGGCUUAACCUGGGAACUGCAUUUGAAACUGGCAGGCUAGAGUCUUGUAGAGGGGGGUAGAAUUCCAGGUGUAGCGGUGAAAUGCGUAGAGAUCUGGAGGAAUACCGGUGGCGAAGGCGGCCCCCUGGACAAAGACUGACGCUCAGGUGCGAAAGCGUGGGGAGCAAACGGGAUUAGAUACCCGCGUAGUCCCUGUCUCUUAUAC
rnacentral:rRNA from 1 species